UCUCUUCCUCUGUCUCUCUUCUGUCACAUUCCCCCUUUAUCUUUGCCCUUAUUCAUCACAUUCACACUCCCCAAUGUUUCUCCCUCUUCCCACAUUUCACAUCCCUCUUUGCCACACUUCCCCCUCUUUCUGUUCAUGUGCUCUUCUUCCUUUCUCCUGGCUAAAAUGCUCACGCACAUAAAUGUAAUCUGCUCCAGACCGUCCUUCUCCCAGCUGUAAGUCCAUGUUGACUCUCACUGGGAGAACAGGCCUACAGCAUCUCCUCCUCAGCAUUUUGUUGGAUUCUGGUUUUCUUCUUUGUCUCUGUUUUCAUGCUUUACCACUUCCAGGUCAGGGAAUCAAAGGCAGCUGGUGGGGACCUUUGACUUUAAUCCUAAUGCUAUCUAUCAUUCAAUACUAAGGCUAAAUGUUAGGUUUUGCUCUUUAAAUAAAAAGCUUAAGAAUCUGAUGUAAUUAAUUUCUUCUUUAUAAAAAGGCCACACGGACAGCUGGCUUGAAGUCAAGACCAUUCCAUCCCACAGUUUUCCACCUCCAUUUUUGGCAGCUUACCUGAGUCAUAAAGAGAGUGGGGGAAUUUGUGUGCCUCCUACAGCAACUCAACAUUUUCUUUGUGCUAGUGUUGUGAAUCCUGACAUGGGCAAAGAAUAUGAAAUUGGGGUUUGUGACUUGGGAAGAGGAAAAACCCACCGACACAGUGUCCCAGGGCCAGGGAUAUGUUGCUUACAGAAAAAUAACUGAACAGUCAGAAGCAGAACGAGGGGCUUCAACACCCCAACAGUGGCCAGUUCUGCUUGAGAUAAUCCUCCUGCAAGUGAGUGGCAGACUCUAA
rnacentral:lncRNA from 1 species